rnacentral:rRNA from 1 species
GAUGAAUGCUGGCGGCGUGCCUAAUACAUGCAAGUCGAGCGAACAGACGAGGAGCUUGCUCCUCUGACGUUAGCGGCGGACGGGUGAGUAACACGCGGAUAACCUACCUAUAAGACUGGGAUAACUUCGGGAAACCGGAGCUAAUACCGGAUAAUAUAUUGAACCGCAUGGUUCAAUAGUGAAAGACGGUUUUGCUGUCACUUAUAGAUGGAUCCGCGCCGCAUUAGCUAGUUGGUAAGGUAACGGCUUACCAAGGCAACGAUGCGUAGCCGACCUGAGAGGGUGAUCGGCCACACUGGAACUGAGACACGGUCCAGACUCCUACGGGAGGCAGCAGUAGGGAAUCUUCCGCAAUGGGCGAAAGCCUGACGGAGCAACGCCGCGUGAGUGAUGAAGGUCUUCGGAUCGUAAAACUCUGUUAUUAGGGAAGAACAAAUGUGUAAGUAACUAUGCACGUCUUGACGGUACCUAAUCAGAAAGCCACGGCUAACUACGUG